rnacentral:lncRNA from 1 species
UCAGCUUCAGCUAGCUAGAUAUACAUACUACUACGUGUUAACCAUUGCUGACGUUUUAUUUAUUUUUUAAUUUUUUAUUUAAAGUUUAAACCUUUCUUUCAUUUUUCUCUCUCUUUCUUUUGCGAAAAUGGAAAAUCUCCACAGUGAAGUUUCCGUGAACUGAAUCAGGUGCAUACUUUCUUCUCCACUCUCAAAAUCUCAAACUUUUUCUAAUGAUAUCAUUGAAGUUUGUGUCUUUUUGAGGUUUAGUUCGAUUUAUCUUUGGUUUUGGUUGUCAAAUGUUUUUUUUCUUGUCUGAAUGUGUCAGAGAGACCCUUUUGUUCUGAACACACUAUUGUUACCUAAUUGUUUGUCAGACUAGAUUUUAGCUCUUAAUAUCAUGUUUUACCUGCUUAAUCUGUGAAUUUCCAUGCUGAAUUCAACUUUUUUUUGCAUUAGAUUCAAGUAGGAACAACAAGUCUUCAUGUAAUGAUACUGAAGAAUCAAAGCCUGCCUGCACUGUGAGAUUUUAAUGUAUAGAGUUGUCUGUGUGUGGUUACCUAAUCAGGAUGGGAAGUUAAUCCAUUUCGAGGAGCGGUGCGAAGUUCUGCAAAGAUCUUGGUUCAUUUGUAUAUUGUAGCAGAUUUAUGUGUGGUUAGGAAUCAAAUAAGGAGAAGGUGCAGGUUGUUAGAAACCUUGUUAGUAUCAAUCUAUGCUGUAUUGCCAUCUAGUUUGGGAAUUUAGAUGGAUGUUACUUCUCUGAGUCCUAAUAGCAACGCCCAAACCGACCAGC